rnacentral:rRNA from 1 species
CCUACGGGAGGCAGCAGUGGGGAAUAUUGCACAAUGGGGGAAACCCUGAUGCAGCGACGCCGCGUGAGUGAUGAAGUAUUUCGGUAUGUAAAGCUCUAUCAGCAGGGAAGAUAAUGACGGUACCUGACCAAGAAGCUCCGGCUACAUACGUGCCAGCAGCCGCGGUAAUACGGAUGGAGCAAGCGUUAUCCGGAUGUACUGGGUGUAAAGGGAGCGCAGACGGCAGGGCAAGUCUGAGGUGAAAGUCCGGGGCUCAACCCCGGGACGGCAGUGGAAACUGUCCGGCUAGAGUGCAGGAGAGGGAAGUGGAAUUCCUGGUGUAGCAGUGAAAUGCGUAGAUAUGGGGAGGAACACUCGUGGCGAAGGCGGCUUACUGGACUGUAACUGACGUUGAGGCUCGAAAGCGAGGGGAGCAAACAGGAUUAGAUACCCGUGUAGUC